rnacentral:rRNA from 1 species
UACGUAGGGGGCAAGCGUUGUCCGGAUUCAUUGGGCGUAAAGAGCGUGUAGGCGGCCAGGUAGGUCGGUUGUGAAACUGGAGGCUCAACCUUCAGAGGUCGACCGAAACCAUCUGGCUAGAGUCCGGGAGAGGAGAGUGGAAUUCCUGGUGUAGCGGUGAAAUGCGUAGAUAUCAGGAGGAACACCGGUGGUGUAGACGGCUCUCUGGACCGUAACUGACGCUGAAACACGAAAGCGUGGGUAGCAAACAGG